AUUGAACGCUGGCGGCAGGCCUAACACAUGCAAGUCGAACGAGUGGCGGACGGGAGAGUAAUGUCUGGGAAACUGCCUGAUGGAGGGGGAUAACUACUGGAAACGGUAGCUAAUACCGCAUACCAUCAGAUGUGCCCAGAUGGGUUUGGCGUGGUGGUGGGGUAACGGCUCACCAAGGCGACGAUCCCUAGCUGGUCUGAGAGGAUGACCGGCCACACGGGAAUUGGGAACCGGCCCAGCUUCCUCCGGAAGGCAGCAGGGGGGAAUAUUGCACAAUGGGCGCAAGCCGGAUGCAGCCAUGCCGCGUGGAUGAAGAAGGCCUUCGGUUUGUAAAGUACUUUCAGCGGGGAGGCGUUACCCGCAGAAGAAGCACCGGCUAACUCCGUGCCAGCAGCCGCGGUAAUAC
rnacentral:rRNA from 1 species